rnacentral:rRNA from 1 species
UACGGAGGGAGCUAGCGUUGUUCGGAAUUACUGGGCGUAAAGCGCACGUAGGCGGCUUUGUAAGUUAGAGGUGAAAGCCUGGGGCUCAACCCCAGAAUUGCCUUUAAGACUGCAUCGCUUGAAUCCAGGAGAGGUGAGUGGAAUUCCGAGUGUAGAGGUGAAAUUCGUAGAUAUUCGCAAGAACACCAGUGGCGAAGGCGGCUCACUGGCCCGAUACUGACGCUGAGGCACGAAAGCGUGGGGAGCAAACAGG